GUCAAUUGCUAUGAAACAUAAUGCAGGCAGGCGAUGUUGGGCUGCCAAAAAAUGUUUAGCCACUGGUUUGUCAGUCCUUUGAUCCAGAAAGGCUGUCAUAAUUCCAGACCGGUGUCCUCCUAUUCGAUCUCGAAGGAUCAGAUCUGUUUUCCCUACAUAAGACAGUCCACAGGGACAGGUAAUCAUAUAAAUCACAUAAUCAGUAGCACAUGUGCUAUAGUGUGAUAUCGGGAUACGUUUCUCACUG